UACGUAGGUGGCAAGCGUUAUCCGGAUUUACUGGGUGUAAAGGGCGCGUAGGCGGGAAGGCAAGUCAGAUGUGAAAUCCAGGGGCUCAACCCCUGAACUGCAUUUGAAACUGCUUUUCUUGAGUGUCGGAGAGGUAGAUGGAAUUCCUAGUGUAGCGGUGAAAUGCGUAGAUAUUAGGAGGAACACCAGUGGCGAAGGCGAUCUACUGGACGAUAACUGACGCUGAGGCGCGAAAGCGUGGGGAGCAAACAGGAUUAGAUACCCUGGUAGUCCACGCUGUAAACGAUGAAUACUAGGUGUGGGGGGACUGACCCCCUCCGUGCCGCAGUUAACACAAUAAGUAUUCCACCUGGGGAGUACGACCGCAAGGUUGAA
rnacentral:rRNA from 1 species